rnacentral:rRNA from 1 species
UCCCAGACUCCUACGGGAGGCAGCAGUGAGGAAUAUUGGUCAAUGGACGAGAGUCUGAACCAGCCAAGUAGCGUGAAGGAUGACUGCCCUAUGGGUUGUAAACUUCUUUUAUAAAGGAAUAAAACGAGGCACGUGUGCCUUUUUGCAUGUACUUUAUGAAUAAGGAUCGGCUAACUCCGUGCCAGCAGCCGCGGUAAUACGGAGGAUGCGAGCGUUAUCCGGAUUUAUUGGGUUUAAAGGGUGCGCAGGCGGAAUGUCAAGUCAGCGGUAAAAUUUCGGGGCUCAACCCCGUCGUGCCGUUGAAACUGGCGUUCUUGAGUGAGCGAGAAGUAUGCGGAAUGCGUGGUGUAGCGGUGAAAUGCAUAGAUAUCACGCAGAACUCCGAUUGCGAAGGCAGCAUACCGGCGCUCAACUGACGCUCAUGCACGAAAGCGUGGGUAUCGAACAGGAUUAGAUACCCCUGUA